AGCUUGCUCCUUGAUUCAGCGGCGGACGGGUGAGUAAUGCCUAGGAAUCUGCCUGGUAGUGGGGGACAACGUUUCGAAAGGAACGCUAAUACCGCAUACGUCCUACGGGAGAAAGCAGGGGACCUUCGGGCCUUGCGCUAUCAGAUGAGCCUAGGUCGGAUUAGCUAGUUGGUGGGGUAAUGGCUCACCAAGGCGACGAUCCGUAACUGGUCUGAGAGGAUGAUCAGUCACACUGGAACUGAGACACGGUCCAGACUCCUACGGGAGGCAGCAGUGGGGAAUAUUGGACAAUGGGCGAAAGCCUGAUCCAGCCAUGCCGCGUGUGUGAAGAAGGUCUUCGGAUUGUAAAGCACUUUAAGUUGGGAGGAAGGGCAGUAAGCUAAUACCUUGCUGUUUUGACGUUACCGACAGAAUAAGCACCGGCUAACUCUGUGCCAGCAGCCGCGGUAAUACAGAGGGUGCAAGCGUUAAUCGGAAUUACUG
rnacentral:rRNA from 1 species